ensembl:snRNA U6 U6 spliceosomal RNA
AUUGGAACGAUACAACAUACACUAAAAUUGGAACGAUACAGAGAUUAGCAUGGCCCCUGUGCAAGGAGAAUGAAUCUUCCAUAAUGUUC